UGCUGCUCUCGUCUGGCUAAAUCCGCUAAGGUUAGGCUAUGCAGCUAUCGCAGAGGCCUCUCCUACACUUCCUGCGUUAUGCUAGAAGUUUACAGUGCAUAUUAGGUCAUUUGUGGACAGGAACGCUAGCUGUUACUUUCACCAAAUGCACAGGAAUCGUCUGGCUCCCACAUGACUGAGCAGGAGCAGCAGGAGUUUAUUGAUAGCCUGGAGGCAGUUCAGUCCUGGAUACAUGUCGUUCAGGAGAGGCUCCGGGUCAAUGACAACACCCAGGGCCCCCGAGCAGCCCUGCAGGCCAGGCUCAGAGAGACAGAGGACAAUGACCCAACACACCUCCAGGCGGUGUAAGGGCUAUUUUACGAAGGAGAGUGACGGAGUGCUGCAUCAGAUGACCUGGCCUCCACAAUCCCCCGACCUCAACCCAUUUUGAGAUGGUUUGGGAUGAGUCGGACUGCAG
ensembl:lncRNA